rnacentral:lncRNA from 1 species
CAUGUACACACAUGUAUGCAGAAUGCAUAUAUCAAAUGCAUGUGAUUGUGCAGUGUGUAGAAAUACAUGUGUACAAGUAUAUCUAUACAUCUGUGUAUAUACAUGUGUUUGUGUUUGUAUAUAUAAAUAAUGAAAAGGAAGUAUUGAGAAAUAAGUUUAGUGAAACAAAUCAGUGAAUUUUAUUGUAAAAUAAUUGACUGAGACCUGAUGGAAAGCACAUCUGAAUUGCCUUCGCUAUAUUUGUUUGCUUACCUUGAUUAAUCUCUGUGUUAACAUGCCUACUGUUUAUUAUUCAGGUGGUGGGUCUUUGAAAGAUUACUCAUCAUAAAAUGGUCUUUUUGUCCUGCUUUGAAACAAAGAUGAUGCUAAAAUAAAAAGUUUAUGGGCCAGAGAAAAGCCCCAAUCCUGCUAUAAUUAAGAUAUUCAGGAAAAAAGCAUUAAAUGAAAAAAUAAUUUGUUUUUAAAAGAGGUAUAAUGGUUAGAAUACUGGACUGAAGGAGAAAACUGGACUCAAAUUCUGCCUCUGUCACUUCCUGUCUAUGUGAUCAUUGGCAAGACAUUUACCUCCUCUGAUACCCAUCAGGACUCCCUAAGACAAUAAGUGAUAAAUGGGUUACAAUUGGCAAUAAGAUGAGAAUUCCCACUCUAAUGAAAUCAAAAGUUUUAAAAAUAUUCAGUUCAAUGAAGCCUUCAUAUUUCUUUUUGGCAUUUAGGGAGUUUAUCUAUUCUGGGCUCCUAUUCCUUACAUAUCCACGUUAUUAUUGAGGUUGGCUAUAUAUAGAGUUAUUUUUGUUUUUAAAUCACUCGACAAUCUAUUUUUUAUCAAUCUGUCCCAUAUGAGUACUAAUGAUAUUUACCAAAGGCAUUGUAAAUUUUGCCUUAUAGGUGUUCAGACUUGAAUAAAAGUGCCACCUAUCUUUCCCAAUAGAAUAUCAUAUAGAAAGCUAUAUUCAAUUUUCUUUCACCUUUUUCCUAUUAAGCCUAGUUUAUCAAUGGAAAGAAUUCAUGCUUUCCAUGACAUUAGAUAUGUCAUCAUUGAGUGUUUUCUGAAUCAUUAUUUUUGUUGGCUAAAGAAAUGAUUAUGGUCUUGAACCAAGUGACUGAUACAUGGCUAUUUCCUUGGCUAACCUCUCCAACACCUCAAAAAGGGGAGAAAGGUGGGGUGGUUGGGAAGAAAUUAAUUGAUACUUUAACUCCUCCCAUUAGUGAAGAAGUCUUUUAUUCUGAUCUUGUAUCUCAGGAUAUUCUUUAGUUCAAUAUUGCUGCUGAGGAGGAUGGGACAAUGCUCCUUUUUCCAAACCUCAAACUGAUUUCUCAGUGCGUAUGUUAAAUAUACUAAGAGUCACAUUGUGUGUUUUUUCAUCAUUAUGUUUACUCUGUGAACUGGUUCAAAAAACAAUUUGAUGUUAGAAAGGAAAAAACAAAAUUCAGGCAAGACAGCCACUUCUUUCUGGCAAAGUACUUACUAUCGUCACUUUUAUAGUGACAGUUUGCAAAAUAAUUUUGCAUUAAGUAUCAAGAUCAAGGUAUCCUUAAAGUGGUGUGUGUGUUGAUUUCAUAAAGAAACUGUUAAACC